rnacentral:rRNA from 1 species
AGAGUUUGAUCCUGGCUCAGAUUGAACGCUGGCGGCAUGCCUUACACAUGCAAGUCGAACGGUAGCGGGCCUUCGGGUGCCGACGAGUGGCGAACGGGUGAGUAAUGUAUCGGAACGUACCUUUCAGUGGGGGAUAACGUAGCGAAAGUUACGCUAAUACCGCAUAUUCUGUGAGCAGGAAAGCAGGGGAUCUUCGGACCUUGCGCUGAUUGAGCGGCCGAUAUCAGAUUAGCUAGUUGGUGAGGUAAAGGCUCACCAAGGCGACGAUCUGUAGCGGGUCUGAGUGGAUGAUCCGCCACACUGGAACUGAGACACGGUCCAGACUCCUACGGGAGGCAGCAGUGGGGAAUUUUGGACAAUGGGGGCAACCCUGAUCCAGCCAUGCCGCGUGAGUGAAGAAGGCCUUCGGGUUGUAAAGCUCUUUCGGCCGGGGAGAAAUCGCAUGGGUUAAUACCCUGUGCGGAUGACGGUACCGGCAUA